UACGAAGGGGGCUAGCGUUGCUCGGAAUCAUUGGGCGUAAAGAGCGCGUAGGCGGCCCAGUAAGUCCGCUCUGAAAGUCAGGGGCUCAACCCCUGAAUGCGGGUGGAUACUGCUGGGCUAGAGUCCGGAAGAGGCGAGUGGAAUUCCUGGUGUAACGGUGGAAUGCGCAGAUAUCAGGAGGAACACCAAUAGCGAAGGCAGCUCGCUGGGACGUUACUGACACUGAGGCGCGAAAGCGUGGGGAGCGAACAGG
rnacentral:rRNA from 1 species